rnacentral:tRNA from 1 species
CCUGGCUUAUCUCAGUCGGUAGAGCGCUCCAUUGGAAAUGGAGAGGUCCCAGGUUGGGUACCUGAACCAGGC